rnacentral:rRNA from 1 species
CAUGCAAGUCGAACGGGGUAGCAAUACCCAGUGGCAGACGGGUGAGUAACAUGUGGGUACCUUCCCUUUGGUGAGGAAUAACACGAGGAAACUUGUGCUAAUACCUCAUAAGUCUUUACAGAGAAAGCUUUAUGCGCCAAUGGAUGGGCCCGCACUUGAUUAGUUAGUUGGCAGGGUAAAGGCCUACCAAGACUUUGAUCAAUAGCUGAUUUGAGAGGAUGAUCAGCCACAUUGGGACUGAGACACGGCCCAAACUCCUACGGGAGGCAGCAGUAGGGAAUCUUGCACAAUGGAGGAAACUCUGAUGCAGCGAUGCCGCGUGAGUGAAGAAGGCCUUUGGGUUGUAAAGCUCUUUCGUCGGGGAAGAAAAUGACUGUACCCGAAUAAGAAGGUCCGGCUAACUUCGUGCCAGCAGCCGCGGUAAUACGAAGGGACCUAGCGUAGUUCGGAAUUACUGGGCUUAAAGAGUUCGUAGGUGGUUAAAAAAGUUGGUGGUGAAAUCCCAGAGCUUAACUCUGGAACUGCCAUCAAAACUUUUUAGCUAGAGUGUGAUAGAGGAAAGCAGAAUUUCUAGUGUAGAGGUGAAAUUCGUAGAUAUUA